rnacentral:rRNA from 1 species
AACUCUGGUAUUGAUUGGUGCUUGCAUCAUGAUUUACAUUUGAGUGAGUGGCGAACUGGUGAGUAACACGUGGGAAACCUGCCCAGAAGCGGGGGAUAACACCUGGAAACAGAUGCUAAUACCGCAUAACAACUUGGACCGCAUGGUCCGAGCUUGAAAGAUGGCUUCGGCUAUCACUUUUGGAUGGUCCCGCGGCGUAUUAGCUAGAUGGUGGGGUAACGGCUCACCAUGGCAAUGAUACGUAGCCGACCUGAGAGGGUAAUCGGCCACAUUGGGACUGAGACACGGCCCAAACUCCUACGGGAGGCAGCAGUAGGGAAUCUUCCACAAUGGACGAAAGUCUGAUGGAGCAACGCCGCGUGAGUGACGAAGGGUUUCGGCUCGUAAAACUCUGUUGUUAAAGAAGAACAUAUCUGAGAGUAACUGUUCAGGUAUUGACGGUAUUUAACCAGAAAGCCACGGCUAACUACGUGCCAGCAGCCGCGGUAAUACGUAGGUGGCAAGCGUUGUCCGGAUUUAUUGGGCGUAAAGCGAGCGCAGGCGGUUUUUUAAGUCUGAUGUGAAAGCCUUCGGCUCAACCGAAGAAGUGCAUCGGAAACUGGGAAACUUGAGUGCAGAAGAGGACAGUGGAACUCCAUGUGUAGCGGUGAAAUGCGUAGAUAUAUGGAAGAACACCAGUGGCGAAGGCGGCUGUCUGGUCUGUAACUGACGCUGAGGCUCGAAAGUAUGGGUAGCAAACAGGAUUAGAUACCCUGGUAGUCCAUACCGUAAACGAUGAAUGCUAAGUGUUGGAGGGUUUCCGCCCUUCAGUGCUGCAGCUAACGCAUUAAGCAUUCCGCCUGGGGAGUACGGCCGCAAGGCUGAAACUCAAAGGAAUUGACGGGGGCCCGCACAAGC